rnacentral:rRNA from 1 species
UACGGGGGGGGCGAGCGUUGUUCGGAAUUACUGGGCGUAAAGGGUUCGUAGGUGGCUUGCUAAGUCAGACGUGAAAUCCCUCGGCUCAACCGAGGAAUUGCGUCUGAAACUGGCGAGCUUGAGUGCAGGAGAGGAACGCGGAAUUCCAGGUGUAGCGGUGAAAUGCGUAGAUAUCUGGAGGAACACCGGUGGCGAAGGCGGCGUUCUGGACUGCAACUGACACUGAGGAACGAAAGCCAGGGUAGCAAACGGG